CAAAUACUCCCUCCGUCCAGAAAUAUUUGUCAUCAAAAUGGAUAAAAAGAGGUGUAUCUAGAACUAAAAUACAUCUAGAUACAUCCCCUUUUAUUCAUCUUGAUGACAAGUAUUUCUGGACGGAGGGAGUAGAAG
rnacentral:pre_miRNA from 1 species